CCUACGGUGGGCAGCAGUGAGGAAUAUUGGUCAAUGGACGCAAGUCUGAACCAGCCAAGUAGCGUGCAGGAUGACGGCCCUACGGGUUGUAAACUGCUUGUAGUUGGGAAUAAACGGGGGCUAGUGAGCCCCGUAUUGUAUGUACCAUCAGAAAAAGGACCGGCUAAUUCCGUGCCAGCAGCCGCGGUAAUACGGGAGGUCCGGGCGUUAUCCGGAUUUUAUGGGUUGAAAGGGAGCGUAGGAGGGCUUUUAAGUCAGCUGUGAAAUUCCGCGGCUCAACCGUGGAAUUGCAGUUGAAACUGGAGGCCUUGAGUGCACACAGGGAUGCCGGAAUUCAUGGUGUAGCGGUGAAAUGCUUAGAUAUCAUGAAGAACUCCGAUCGCGAAGGCAAGUGUCCGGGGUGCAACUGACGCUGAGGCUCGAAAGUGCGGGUAUCAAACAGGAUUAGAUACCCCAGUAGUC
rnacentral:rRNA from 1 species